UACGGGGGGGGCAAGCGUUGUUCGGAAUUACUGGGCGUAAAGGGCUCGUAGGCGGCCAACUAAGUCAGACGUGAAAUCCCUCGGCUUAACCGGGGAACUGCUUGGUAUACUGGUUGUCUUGAGCCACUUAGGGGCAGUCGGAACAGACGGUGGAGCGGUGAAAUGCGUAGAUAUCGUCUGGAACGCCAAAGGUGAAAACAGACUGCUGGGAGUGUGCUGACGCUGAGACACGAAAGCCAGGGGAGCAAACGGG
rnacentral:rRNA from 1 species